rnacentral:rRNA from 1 species
AUGCAAGUCGAGGGGCAGGCAGGGGGUGGCAACACCCCGCUGGCGACCGGCGCACGGGUGCGUAACGCGUGUUCAACCUGCCUCAUACCCGGGAACAGCCCAUCGAAAGAUGGAUUAAUGCCCGAUGUUGUCCCUGCGCCCCCUGGCGCUCGGACCAAAGAUUCAUCGGUAUGGGAUGGGAACGCGUCCGAUUAGCUAGACGGCGGGGUAACGGCCCACCGUGGCGACGAUCGGUAGGGGUUCUGAGAGGAAGGUCCCCCACACUGGAACUGAGACACGGUCCAGACUCCUACGGGAGGCAGCAGUGAGGAAUAUUGGUCAAUGGUCGCAAGACUGAACCAGCCAAGUAGCGUGAGGGAUGACUGCCCUAUGGGUUGUAAACUUCUUUUGCAGGGGAAUAACCGGCGCCACGUGUGGCGUCCUGCAUGUACCCUGCGAAUAAGCAUCGGCUAAUUCCGUGCCAGCCGCUGC